rnacentral:rRNA from 1 species
AAAACAUGUCUUUUUGAUAAAAAUUUAAAGUCAGGUCUGCUCACUGAAUUAUUUAAAGAGCCGCAGUAUAUUGACUGUGCAAAGGUAGCAUAAUCAAUAGUUUUUUAAUUGGAAACUAGAAUGAAAGAUUAGACGAAAAAUUAAUUUUCUUUGUUUUAAUAAAUUUAAUUUUAAAUUUAAGUGAAAAUGCUUAAAUAUAAUUAAAAGACGAGAAGACCCUAUAGAUUUUUAUUAUUGAAAUGAAUUUUUAAAUUUAAUUUAAUAAAAUAAUUUAAUUGGGGCGAUUUUAUAAUAUAAAUAACUUAAUUUUUUUUAACCAUAAAUAAUUGAAUAUUUGAUCUAAAAUUUUUAAAGAAAAGAUUAAAUUACCUUAGGGAUAACAGCGUAAUUUUAUUUAAGAGUUCAUAUCUAUAAUAAAGUUUGCGACCUCGAUGUUGAAUUAAGAUAAUAUAUUGGAGUAGAAAUUAAUAUAAUUAGUCUGUUCGACUAUUAAAUUCUUACGUGAUCUG